GGUAGUUAAGUCAGAAGUGAAAUCCAAUAGCUCAACUAUUGAACUGCUUUUGAAACUGAUUACCUAGAAUAUGGGAGAGGUAGAUGGAAUUUCUGGUGUAGGGGUAAAAUCCGUAGAGAUCAGAAGGAAUACCGAUUGCGAAGGCGAUCUACUGGAACAUUAUUGACGCUGAGACGCGAAAGCGUGGGGAGCAAACAGGAUUAGAUACCCUGGUAGUCCACGCCCUAAACGAUGUACACUAGUUGUUGUGAGGCUCGACCUUGCAGUAAUGCAGUUAACACAUUAAGUGUACCGCCUGGGGAGUACGGUCGCAAGAUUAAAACUCAAAGGAAUAGACGGGGACCCGCACAAGCGGUGGAGCAUGUGGUUUAAUUCGACGAUACACGAAGAACCUUACCUGGACUUGACAUAGUAAGAACUUUCUAGAGAUAGAUUGGUGUCUGCUUGCAGAAACUUAUAUACAGGUGCUGCACGGCUGUCGUCAGCUCGUGUCGUGAGAUGUUGGGUUAAGUCCCGCAACGAGCGCAACCCUCGUCAUUAGUUGCUAACAGUUCGGCUGAGAACUCUAAUGAGACUGCCUACGCAAGUAGGAGGAAGGUGAGGACGACGUCAAGUCAUCAUGGCCCUUACGUCCAGGGCUACACACGUGCUACAAUGGGGUAUACAAAGAGCCGCAAUACGGUGACGUGGAGCAAAUCUCAAAAAUAUCUCCCAGUUCGGAUUGUAGUCUGCAACUCGACUACAU
rnacentral:rRNA from 1 species